ensembl:snoRNA Gm54606 predicted gene, 26158
GUGCACAUUUUAUUGUCUUUUCUUUACAUCAAGAGAAAAGAUAUUUCUGAUGUGCUAAACAAACUUUUGGAGGUAAAUUAGCAGCAUGACUACUUCUGCCACUGCUGUCAGUCACCUUCAGACAAGU